rnacentral:lncRNA from 1 species
GAGAAAUUGUCUUCAUCUGGGGCCCCAUCAUGGGCUUCUCUGAAGAAAAAAUGCCACGACCUACGGAUCUUUCAGUGUCUUACGUUAUUGUCUCUCUUAGUAGGGAGAGACCAUGAUGGGGGAUAAGCAGGUUGUUCAAUAGAACAGAAUUACCUGGUCGUCACUAUGAAGCAGAUGCCCCGGAGCUUGCUGCAGGCUUCUGUUGACUCGUCUCCUGGCCUGCAGCCGUCCCUGCCUGAGCCUGCCUCCCUGGACUGACCCCUGAAGAAGCUGGGUCUUUUGGGGAAGAGCCAAUAGCAAAACCAGUUCAAUGCUCAUGAUGGAUACUAUUGAAACUCUGAACUUGGGGGACCUUCAUAGCUCCAUCGUCUUAAUGCCGGUCAGCUGGCACAUGGCUUUUGCCCUUUGCUCUUCAUCUUAUGGCCUUGAGGAUAAAACUUUAUGUGCUGUAGAUGGCGAAGCAAGAAGAGUGGACGAGCCUGGUUCCUUGAGCAGCAGCGCCAGCCCCAGCCUCUCUAUCCACGGACUGCUUCUUAAGAAAACCAGCCAGCUGCAGACAAAGGAUCAGAUGGAGGUAUACGAGGAAACCAUCAAUAUCUGUUCCAGAGUUCUGAGGAAACACACCAAAUCAAAGCAAUUUGGAGAUUUCUAUUUGUCAAAUGAUCAUUUUCCAGGAGGAGGCCAGCAGAAGCAGGAUCUGGGUCUCCCUUGGGAAAUCCGG